UACGGAGGGAGCUAGCGUUGUUCGGAAUUACUGGGCGUAAAGGGCUCGUAGGCGGCCAACUAAGUCAUACGUGAAAUCCCUCAGCUUAACUGGGGAACUGCGUGUGAUACUGGAUGGCUUGGAUUUGGGAGAGGGAUGCGGAAUUCCAGGUGUAGCGGUGAAAUGCGUAGAUAUCUGGAGGAACACCGGUGGCGAAGGCGGCAUCCUGGACCAAUAUUGACGCUGAGGAGCGAAAGCCAGGGGAGCAAACGGG
rnacentral:rRNA from 1 species